UAUGUGGUCAAUGCAGUAAAUCUUU
rnacentral:piRNA from 1 species